rnacentral:ncRNA from 2 species
CCUUUGCAGGCAAUCAAAGGUGACAUCCUAUUUCUUUUCCAAGAAAUUAUUUGUCAUAAUAGGGAACCGGGUGAGAAUCCCGGAUAGUACCCGCUGCUGUAAACUCUAAAAAGUUUUAUGCUUACGCUGGAUGCUCAAUCCGGUAGCCACUGUUAAUCCUUUAAUUUAAAGAUAACGGGAAGGUGCAGAAAACGAGAGUAAGUCAGAAGACCUGCCUUUGAAUUUAUUUUUAU